AACCGAGAUUCCCCCAGUAGCGGCGAGCGAACGGGGAGCAGCCCAGAGCCUGAAUCAGUGUGUGUGUUAGUGGAAGCGUCUGGAAAGGCGCGCGAUACAGGGUGACAGCCCCGUACACAAAAAUGCACAUGCUGUGAGCUCGAUGAGUAGGGCGGGACACGUGGUAUCCUGUCUGAAUAUGGGGGGACCAUCCUCCAAGGCUAAAUACUCCUGACUGACCGAUAGUGAACCAGUACCGUGAGGGAAAGGCGAAAAGAACCCCGGCGAGGGGAGUGAAAAAGAACCUGAAACCGUGUACGUACAAGCAGUGGGAGCACGCUUAGGCGUGUGACUGCGUACCUUUUGUAUAAUGGGUCAGCGACUUAUAUUCUGUAGCAAGGUUAACCGAAUAGGGGAGCCGAAGGGAAACCGAGUCUUAACUGGGCGUUAAGUUGCAGGGUAUAGACCCGAAACCCGGUGAUCUAGCCAUGGGCAGGUUGAAGGUUGGGUAACACUAACUGGAGGACCGAACCGACUAAUGUUGAAAAAUUAGCGGAUGACUUGUGGCUGGGGGUGAAAGGCCAAUCAAACCGGGAGAUAGCUGGUUCUCCCCGAAAGCUAUUUAGGUAGCGCCUCGUGAAUUCAUCUCCGGGGGUAGAGCACUGUUUCGGCAAGGGGGUCAUCCCGACUUACCAACCCGAUGCAAACUGCGAAUACCGGAGAAUGUUAUCACGGGAGACACACGGCGGGUGCUAACGUCCGUCGUGAAGAGGGAAACAACCCAGACCGCCAGCUAAGGUCCCAAAGUCAUGGUUAAGUGGGAAACGAUGUGGGAAGGCCCAGACAGCCAGGAUGUUGGCUUAGAAGCAGCCAUCAUUUAAAGAAAGCGUAAUAGCUCACUGGUCGAGUCGGCCUGCGCGGAAGAUGUAACGGGGCUAAACCAUGCACCGAAGCUGCGGCAGCGACGCUUAUGCGUUGUUGGGUAGGGGAGCGUUCUGUAAGCCUGUGAAGGUGUACUGUGAGGUAUGCUGGAGGUAUCAGAAGUGCGAAUGCUGACAUAAGUAACGAUAAAGCGGGUGAAAAGCCCGCUCGCCGGAAGACCAAGGGUUCCUGUCCAACGUUAAUCGGGGCAGGGUGAGUCGACCCCUAAGGCGAGGCCGAAAGGCGUAGUCGAUGGGAAACAGGUUAAUAUUCCUGUACUUGGUGUUACUGCGAAGGGGGGACGGAGAAGGCUAUGUUGGCCGGGCGACGGUUGUCCCGGUUUAAGCGUGUAGGCUGGUUUUCCAGGCAAAUCCGGAAAAUCAAGGCUGAGGCGUGAUGACGAGGCACUACGGUGCUGAAGCAACAAAUGCCCUGCUUCCAGGAAAAGCCUCUAAGCAUCAGGUAACAUCAAAUCGUACCCCAAACCGACACAGGUGGUCAGGUAGAGAAUACCAAGGCGCUUGAGAGAACUCGGGUGAAGGAACUAGGCAAAAUGGUGCCGUAACUUCGGGAGAAGGCACGCUGAUAUGUAGGUGAAGUCCCUCGCGGAUGGAGCUGAAAUCAGUCGAAGAUACCAGCUGGCUGCAACUGUUUAUUAAAAACACAGCACUGUGCAAACACGAAAGUGGACGUAUACGGUGUGACGCCUGCCCGGUGCCGGAAGGUUAAUUGAUGGGGUUAGCGCAAGCGAAGCUCUUGAUCGAAGCCCCGGUAAACGGCGGCCGUAACUAUAACGGUCCUAAGGUAGCGAAAUUCCUUGUCGGGUAAGUUCCGACCUGCACGAAUGGCGUAAUGAUGGCCAGGCUGUCUCCACCCGAGACUCAGUGAAAUUGAACUCGCUGUGAAGAUGCAGUGUACCCGCGGCAAGACGGAAAGACCCCGUGAACCUUUACUAUAGCUUGACACUGAACAUUGAGCCUUGAUGUGUAGGAUAGGUGGGAGGCUUUGAAGUGUGGACGCCAGUCUGCAUGGAGCCGACCUUGAAAUACCACCCUUUAAUGUUU
rnacentral:rRNA from 1 species